GACGAACGCUGGCGGCGUGCUUAACACAUGCAAGUCGAACGGAAAGGCCCUGCUUUUGUGGGGUGCUCGAGUGGCGAACGGGUGAGUAACACGUGAGUAACCUGCCCUUGACUUUGGGAUAACUUCAGGAAACUGGGGCUAAUACCGGAUAGGAGCUCCUGCUGCAUGGUGGGGGUUGGAAAGUUUCGGCGGUUGGGGAUGGACUCGCGGCUUAUCAGCUUGUUGGUGGGGUAGUGGCUUACCAAGGCUUUGACGGGUAGCCGGCCUGAGAGGGUGACCGGCCACAUUGGGACUGAGAUACGGCCCAGACUCCUACGGGAGGCAGCAGUGGGGAAUAUUGCACAAUGGGCGGAAGCCUGAUGCAGCAACGCCGCGUGCGGGAUGACGGCCUUCGGGUUGUAAACCGCUUUCGCCUGUGACGAAGCGUGAGUGACGGUAAUGGGUAAAGAAGCACCGGCUAACUACGUGCCAGCAGCCGCGGUGAUACGUAGGGUGCGAGCGUUGUCCGGAUUUAUUGGGCGUAAAGGGCUCGUAGGUGGUUGAUCGCGUCGGAAGUGUAAUCUUGGGGCUUAACCCUGAGCGUGCUUUCGAUACGGGUUGACUUGAGGAAGGUAGGGGAGAAUGGAAUUCCUGGCGGAGCGGUGGAAUGCGCAGAUAUCAGGAGGAACACCAGUGGCGAAGGCGGUUCUCUGGGCCUUUCCUGACGCUGAGGAGCGAAAGCGUGGGGAGCGAACAGGCUUAGAUACCCUGGUAGUCCACGCUGUAAACGGUGGGUACUAGGUGUGGGGUCCAUUCCACGGGUUCCGUGCCGUAGCUAACGCUUUAAGUACCCCGCCUGGGGAGUACGGCCGCAAGGCUAAAACUCAAAGGAAUUGACGGGGCCCCGCACAAGCGGCGGAGCAUGCGGAUUAAUUCGAUGCAACGCGUAGAACCUUACCUGGGUUUGACAUGGAUCGGGAGUGCUCAGAGAUGGGUGUGCCUCUUUUGGGGUCGGUUCACAGGUGGUGCAUGGCUGUCGUCAGCUCGUGUCGUGAGAUGUUGGGUUAAGUCCCGCAACGAGCGCAACCCUUGUACACUGUUGCCAGCACGUUAUGGUGGGGACUCAGUGGAGACCGCCGGGGUCAACUCGGAGGAAGGUGGGGAUGACGUCAAGUCAUCAUGCCCCUUAUGUCCAGGGCUUCACGCAUGCUACAAUGGCUGGUACAGAGAGUGGCGAGCCUGUGAGGGUGAGCGAAUCUCGGAAAGCCGGUCUCAGUUCGGAUUGGGGUCUGCAACUCGACCUCAUGAAGUCGGAGUCGCUAGUAAUCGCAGAUCAGCAACGCUGCGGUGAAUACGUUCCCGGG
rnacentral:rRNA from 1 species